UGCAAGUCGAGCGGACAGAUGGGAGCUUGCUCCCUGAUGUUAGCGGCGGACGGGUGAGUAACACGUGGGUAACCUGCCUGUAAGACUGGGAUAACUCCGGGAAACCGGGGCUAAUACCGGAUGGUUGUUUGAACCGCAUGGUUCAGACAUAAAAGGUGGCUUCGGCUACCACUUACAGAUGGACCCGCGGCGCAUUAGCUAGUUGGUGAGGUAACGGCUCACCAAGGCGACGAUGCGUAGCCGACCUGAGAGGGUGAUCGGCCACACUGGGACUGAGACACGGCCCAGACUCCUACGGGAGGCAGCAGUAGGGAAUCUUCCGCAAUGGACGAAAGUCUGACGGAGCAACGCCGCGUGAGUGAUGAAGGUUUUCGGAUCGUAAAGCUCUGUUGUUAGGGAAGAACAAGUGCCGUUCAAAUAGGGCGGCACCUUGACGGUACCUAACCAGAAAGCCACGGCUAACUACGUGCCAGCAGCCGCGGUAAUACGUAGGUGGCAAGCGUUGUCCGGAAUUAUUGGGCGUAAAGGGCUCGCAGGCGGUUUCUUAAGUCUGAUGUGAAAGCCCCCGGCUCAACCGGGGAGGGUCAUUGGAAACUGGGGAACUUGAGUGCAGAAGAGGAGAGUGGAAUUCCACGUGUAGCGGUGAAAUGCGUAGAGAUGUGGAGGAACACCAGUGGCGAAGGCGACUCUCUGGUCUGUAACUGACGCUGAGGAGCGAAAGCGUGGGGAGCGAACAGGAUUAGAUACCCUGGUAGUCCACGCCGUAAACGAUGAGUGCUAAGUGUUAGGGGGUUUCCGCCCCUUAGUGCUGCAGCUAACGCAUUAAGCACUCCGCCUGGGGAGUACGGUCGCAAGACUGAAACUCAAAGGAAUUGACGGGGGCCCGCACAACCGGUGGAGCAUGUGGUUUAAUUCGAAGCAACGCGAAGAACCUUACCAGGUCUUGACAUCCUCUGACAAUCCUAGGAUAGGACGUCCCUUCGGGG
rnacentral:rRNA from 1 species